rnacentral:lncRNA from 1 species
CCGUGGCUGGCGGGUGCACCACCACCAAACGGAAAUCCAGUUUCAUUUUCCGCUGGUGUGGUGUGUUCCCUGUACCUGACUCUACAUUCAUCUAUUGAAGCAGAAAGGACUUGGGCUGGAGGCCAGUACCUUAUCUUCAUAUACAGAACCAACUGUCAGGAGGCUGACAGAUACUACAGCACCUUAUCUUCAUAUACAGAACCAACUGUCAGAAGGCUGACAGAUACUGAGGCACCUUAUCUUCAUAUACAGAACCAACUGUCAGGAGGCUGACAGAUACUACAGCACCUUAUCUUCAUAUACAGAACCAACUGUCAGAAGGCUGACAGAUACUGAGGCACCUUAUCUUCAUAUACAGAACCAACUGUCAGGAGGCUGACAGAUACUACAGCAUCUUAUCUUCAUUCUAUACAGAACCAACUGUCAGAAGGCUGACAGAUACUGAGGCACCUUAUCUUCAUUCUAUACAGAACCAACUGUCAGAAGGCUAACAGAUACUGAGGAACCUUAUCUUCACACCUGUGUUGGGUCCGGGUCUGAUUGGAACGGCCAGGCAGUUAAGCACGCCCAGCUAGACACAGCUCACAUGUUGGCCCAACUCCAAUAAGAAUGAUGUGACCCAGUCAGAAUUAGCCCAGUUUGACAUAUGUGAUUUAUUAGAGCCUUGCUGACAAUAGGAGCAGUGGCAAGGCUGACUAUUCUCUUUACGUAGCACUGCUGUCAACGCAGUCAGUCUGGCCACUGUCACAAAACAACGCUAGACAACUAACAGAUGACGUUAGACAACUAACAGAUGACGGCUCCAGUCACUUAGGUGUCAACAUGUGUGGGAAAGACUCUCCAAGACACUACUGUGAUGUUAUAUACCCAAGCUACAAGACUCUACUGUGAUGUUAUAUACCCAAGCUACAAGACACUACUGUGAUGUUAUAUACCCAAGCUACAAGACACUACUGUGAUGUUAUAUACCCAAGCUACAAGACACUACUGUGAUGUUAUAUACCCAAGCUACAAGACA